rnacentral:rRNA from 1 species
CAGGAUGAACGCUGGCGGCGUGCUUAACACAUGCAAGUCGAACGAAGCAGUUAUACGAUCCCUCGGGGUGACGAUUACUGACUGAGUGGCGGACGGGUGAGUAACGCGUGGGUAACCUGCCUGUACAGGGGGACAACAGUUGGAAACGACUGCUAAUACCGCAUAAGCGCACAGCUUCGCAUGAAGCAGUGUGAAAAGUUAUUUCGGUACAAGAUGGACCCGCGUCUGAUUAGCUAGUUGGUGAGGUAACGGCCCACCAAGGCGACGAUCAGUAGCCGACCUGAGAGGGUGACCGGCCACAUUGGGACUGAGACACGGCCCAAACUCCUACGGGAGGCAGCAGUGGGGAAUAUUGCACAAUGGGCGCAAGCCUGAUGCAGCCGACGCCGCGUGAGCGAAGAAGUAUUUCGGUAUGUAAAGCUCUAUCAGCAGGGAAGAUAAUGACGGUACCUGACUAAGAAGCACCGGCUAAAUACGUGCCAGCAGCGGC